UGCAAAUAUCAUAUUUAGUUUAUUUACUUUGGUCCCUAAGAAUGGAGAGAGAUGGAUGAUGAUAGAUAAUAGAUAGAAAGAUAGGAUGACUGGACUUACGGAUGAGUGGAUGGCUGGGUGGAUGGAUAGAUGGAUGAGGAAGAGAGAACUAUAUGAAAAUCAAAGAUGACUGAGAGAAAUUCUGUUCAAAUACCUUCAAUUAAUGAUGAAAGCCCACAGAGACCAAGUGCACGCUUCCCCCAGUGAUACCUCAAGUCCAGGUUCUGACUCUUAGUCCAGAGAUCUAUUGUACUUUGCUUCAUUCCAAAUAGGAUUAGUCAGGUUAAAGUAAAUAAUUCUCCAGUAGGCAGCUACCCCAAAUCCCAUGGCUCAAAGCAACAGUGAUUGGUUUCUUGCCCACCCCAGCCAGCAGGGGGUGCUCUGCUCACCGUAGCCCAGCAGAGACUCAAGAGGAUGGAAUUGUGUGUAUGAAGUCAUGGCCACCUUUACCUCCACAUGAGUCUUCAAUUCACUUCUGCAAGGAAACUGUGGGGGUAUCACAGCAACUCUCAGUGACCUUUGAAUCUCCUUAGCCAAACCCAGAGGUUGGCAAAGGCAAUCUUGCCUCAGGAGACCUGGAGUGCAGAAUCGGCCCCUAGGGUGCUGGCUCUUCUCCAGCGCACAGAUGACCCAGUACUAAAAUCUGCCCAGAACCUGGCCCCCAGCCAGCCACCCAAGCCCCUGUGGAUGGACCUUGGCACUGCCUCCCUCCUUCUCAUGGCUGUCUGUCCCUUCCACAGCUGUGGACGUUCCAUCUGGCCCAGAGUGGUGGCCAGCAAGGACACAAAAAC
rnacentral:lncRNA from 1 species